UUGAACGCUGGCGGCAUGCUUUACACAUGCAAGUCGAACGGCAGCGGGGGCUUCGGCCUGCCGGCGAGUGGCGAACGGGUGAGUAAUGCAUCGGAACGUGCCCAGUCAUGGGGGAUAACUACGCGAAAGCGUAGCUAAUACCGCAUACGACCUGAGGGUGAAAGCGGGGGAUCGCAAGACCUCGCGCGACAGGAGCGGCCGAUAUCGGAUUAGCUAGUUGGUGAGGUAAAGGCUCACCAAGGCGACGAUCCGUAGCUGGUCUGAGAGGACGAUCAGCCACACUGGAACUGAGACACGGUCCAGACUCCUACGGGAGGCAGCAGUGGGGAAUUUUGGACAAUGGGGGCAACCCUGAUCCAGCCAUUCCGCGUGAGUGAAGAAGGCCUUCGGGUUGUAAAACUCUUUCGGCAGGAACGAAACGGUGAGCUCUAACAUAGCUUGCUAAUGACGGUACCUGAAGAAGAAGCACCGGCUAACUACGU
rnacentral:rRNA from 1 species